CGGAGCCUCUCAUCUCAUCCGUUUGGUUUUUUUCUUCUUGUUUCCAUCUCAUUGGCCCCGCCCCCUGUGGUUAAGCCCCGCCCCCGGAGCGGAGAGAGAGAGAAGCCUCGCGACCAGAAUCAGUCAUCUCCGCUGGUUACCAGGGUUACCUGCUCCCAAACCGGACCGAACCGGUUACCGAGCCGUUCCAGGAGCGGACCGACCGACGGGCGUCUUUAUCUGCUGCUGAAACCUUCCCAUCAUGGAGGAACUUCAUGACGUGCAGCUGACGGAGAUCAAACCUCUGCUCACAGGACAGAACGGAGGAAACCUGCAGGACUUUGACUGUCAGGUGAGUUCCUCAUCAUCAUCAUC